AUCUCUUCUCGGCCUUUUGGCUAAGAUCAAGUGUAGUAUCUGUUCUUAUUGUCUGUUCUUAUCAGGACAGGGGUCGAGUUGCGAGUCAUCAGAGCUAGUGGAGAUCAUCGCUGGAUCGUGAUUGGACGUCUCCCACAAUUCUCCAUUUCCCUGCAGAAAGCAUUGCAAUCUUCAAGGAAGAGACCUCAU